UACAGAGGGGGCAAGCGUUGUUCGGAAUCACUGGGCGUAAAGCGCACGUAGGCGGACUCUUAAGUCGGUGGUGAAAUCCUGGAGCUCAACUCCAGAACUGCCUUCGAUACUGAGAGUCUUGAGUCCGGGAGAGGUGAGUGGAACUGCGAGUGUAGAGGUGAAAUUCGUAGAUAUUCGCAAGAACACCAGUGGCGAAGGCGGCUCACUGGCCCGGUACUGACGCUGAGGUGCGAAAGCGUGGGGAGCAAACAGG
rnacentral:rRNA from 1 species